GCUGGGCAUGGUGGCUCAUGCCUGUAAUCCCAGCUACUUUGGAGGCUGAGGUGGGAGGAUUGCUUGAGCCUGGGAGUCUGAGGUUGUGGUGAGCCAAGACUGACCCACUGCACUCCAGCCUGGGCAAUAAAGUGAGACUCUGUCUAAA
rnacentral:SRP_RNA from 2 species